UUGGACUAGGUGGUACACACACAUUUAGGACAGUCUCAAAAGGGUUUGGACUAGGUGGUACACACACAUUUAGGACAGUCUCAAAAGGGUUUGGACUAGGUGGUACACACACAUUUAGGACUGUCUCAAGAGGGUUUGACUAGGUGGUACAUACACAUUUAGGACUGUCUCAAGAGGGUUUGACUAGGUGGUACAUACACAUUUAGGACUGUCUCAAGAGGGUUUGACUAGGUGGUACACAGCUACAACUAGAAGUUACUUGGUUUGUAGCAGGUUAGGAGAACUUACGCAGGAGGUUAGGAUAAUUCACUUAACAAGUUAGGAUAAUUGGGGUAAGG